GUGUUCGCUUCAGCAGCACAUACACUAAAAUUAGAAUGAUACAAGAGAUUAGCAUGCCCCCUGAGUAAGGAUGACACACAAAUUUGCGACAGCUUCCAUGGUUUU